UACGAAGGGGGCUAGCGUUGUUCGGAAUUACUGGGCGUAAAGGGCGCGUAGGCGGUUUGCUAAGUUGGAUGUGAAAACUCUGGGCUUAACCCAGAGCCUGCAUCCAAAACUGGCAAACUUGAGUACUGGAGGGGAAAGCGGAAUUCCUGGUGUAGCGGUGAAAUGCGUAGAUAUCAGGAGGAACACCGGUGGCGAAGGCGGCUUUCUGGACAGUAACUGACGCUGAGGCGCGAAAGCUAGGGGAGCAAACAGG
rnacentral:rRNA from 1 species